GCCUGGCCCUAAAUCUUGAUGCUCGAUCUUACCGGAGCAUCCGCCCGAGAACUACGAGCACCAACGCUUAAAACUCUAAGGACUUGGCGGUGCCCCARACCCACCUAGAGGAGCCUGUUCUGUAAUCGAUGAUCCACGAUAUACCUGACCAUUCCUUGCCAAAUCAGCCUAUAUACCGCCGUCGCCAGCCCACCCAGCAUGAAGGCCCAACAGUGGACGCAAUAGCCCAACCGCGCUAAUAAGACAGGUCAAGGUAUAGCCUAUGGAAUGGAAGCAAUGGGCUACAUUUUCUAAGCUAGAACACAACGGCAAAGGGAUAUGAAAUUGUCCCUGGAAGGAGGAUUUAGCAGUAAAGUGGGACAAUCGAGCCCUCUUUAAGCCGGCCCUGGAGCACGU
rnacentral:rRNA from 1 species